CAUUUUGAUUGCGGCCUUCUCCAGAAACCGGACCUGAACAGGAACCCUGAAACACGCGGGACGUGACAAGGGAUCCCACAAUUUAAUGUCCAGUGUCCAAUUUCUGUAGCUCCAAGAGCCAUCUCAACAAGUCAACCAACUCUGCCCACUGUGUCACUGCCACUUCAUCAAUGCCAUUAACAUAACCUUAGACAGUAUAUUGAGUGAAGACGCAGAGGCCUUUAUUGCUUUCCAAAUUGUUCUAACAUCAGGUAAAAAAUUCUAGGGAAUCUUCAGGCUGCUUAUAAAGCUUAUCUUUCCCUCA